rnacentral:lncRNA from 1 species
CUGGUGUUGUCUUUAUUAGCCACUCUCUCUUUCCUUUCUUCCAAGUCAUACCUCACAGACCACCCCUCCAAGAAGUUUCCCCGCCCUCUCUCACCACUCCCCUUAUCACAGCACCAACACAUGGCUCUUUGUUAGUAUAGUCAGUAGUGUUUGGUGCGCAGCAGACUCUGGGACCCAAUAGCUUCAUUUCAAAGUCUAGAAAGAGUCACUCUUCUCUAAUUGUGAAAAGUCCUUUAGUCUCUUUCUGCCUCACUUCCUGCAUCUGUCAAAUGAGGAUGGUGGUCACGGGGGUAACAAUGCCUGGCUCAGAGGAGUGCUGUGAGGACUCCGGAAUUCACCCAGGUCUCAUCACCUCCCUGGCUCUGCCCUUCUCCCAUCUCAGCGGCAGUGUUUGCUGAGUCUGCAGCUGACCGGUCUCUGUAGGCAGAGACUACUGUGUACCCCUCUGCCUGGACUUGCCUGGUCCAGCCUCUGAGCCAGGCUCUUCUGCUCCUGUGACCCAACUCUGACAAAUUCCAGAGAAUGAACAUUUCAUAUCUGUCUACCCGAAGAGCGAGAAAACAGGGGAAGUAGAAGGACAAGGAACAUUCAGUGUGAGGAGGAGAGAGGGAGCCUCUAGAGUGGGCCAGCUGGCAAGACAGACUCUUAUACAACAAUGUCAUCAUGGAAGUGACUGCCCACCAUCUUUCCCAGAUUUUACUGAGUAGAAGCAAGUCACAGGUUCUGCCAACAGUCAAAGGGAUGAGAUUACCCAAGGAUGUGAACUACAAG